rnacentral:tRNA from 1 species
AGGAUAUUAGUUAAAAUAUAUAACAAUUAAAUUGCAUUUAAUAAUUAUUAGAAAUAUAUCUUA